rnacentral:lncRNA from 1 species
UUGAUCGUUUUUGAUUAUUCGUAUUACACAGAAUAACUAUAAAUCAGCAAUAAUGUUCAAACUUAAAUUGUUCAUCUUCGUUGUAUUGGUCACCAUGGUGGCUGUGAACGUGAUGGAAACCGAAGCCGUGCCAGCAGAAAAAGCCGAAUCCUACCAAAACCAAAACUUGAAAGCUCAUCAUCCAACCAAAGUCGAAAUCGUGAUCAAAAAGGAGAAGAAAGAAGGUGGCGGUUCUUGAACCCGUCUAUGCCUGUUGGAUCGCCUUGAUGCCUUAACGGAGACAGUUAAUUAAUUUAUUUCCAAAUUUGUUAAGUUUCUGUUUUGUUUCCUGCUUGUUUGUUUGCUACAUAAAUCGUUUGCGCGCAAUAA